GCGUCAGUGGUGCAACGGUUAACAUACGCUCCCGCAAAGAGUGAGAUCUGGAUCGAAUCCCGGCUGGCGCA